rnacentral:lncRNA from 1 species
ACCCGGGAGGCGGAGGUUGCAGUGAGCAGAGAUCGCGCCACCGCACUCCAGCCUGGGCGACAGAGCGAGACUCCGUCUCAAAAAACAAAAACAAAAACAAAAAAAGAAAUAUUUGAGGGCAUUCUGAGUUUCAGAUAUUCUGCUAGCAGUGAACAAGAAUGGGGAAGUCCCUGUCUUUAUGAAAUUUACAUUUGAGAGUUUGCGUGUGUGAAUGAGGAGAGCACCAAUCAAUAUACAAGUAAACAUACAAAUAAAACAGUAAAUAAAGCUAAUGUGAUAGAGUAACUAGGGGCAUAUUUAAAACAGGAUGGUCAGAAACAGCCUCCAAGGAAGUGACAUUUGGAAACAGACCUGAAGGAUAAGGAACGAGCUAUACAUUUGGCAGACACUGAGACGAGCAUGUGCAAAAGCCCUGAGGUAAGACAGACCAAGAACAAAAAGGAGGCCGGCAUGUACACGACACGGGGAGUGUGGGGAGAUGAUCUAAGACAAUGCUGGAGAGGCAGGCGGAAGCCAGUUACACACAGCCCUUGGGUGCCAUCAGCAGGAGUUGGAAUUUUAUUCAAAGUACAAAGGAAAAUCACUCAUGCGGGAGUAUCACUAGCAGGGGAAUGAAAUGAUCUGGGAUGUUUUUCUUUUCUUUGUUUUUUUUGGCGGUGAGGGGUGGGGGGAUGUUUUCCAAAGGUCAGUCUGGCUCCAUGGUGGAGAGCGGAUGGUAGAAUUAUAAAAACAGAGUCGACUUCCUAGGCUCAAGUGAUCCUCCCACCUUGGUCUCCCAAAGUGCUGAGAUUACAGGCAUGAACCACUGCCCUUGGACAAGGCAGGGUUUUAACAAACUUAAUCUAUCAGCAAAACAGAUGACUGUUCAAGUUUCAAGAAACUGAAGAAGAAAGCACCUACUGGCUGUCCAUGCAGUCAUGUGUACAGGAGGAUGAGGACUUUGAGACGAGAGGCGGUAGACAAGGGGGCCUCAGGGCAGCUCACUGCUAGUCAUCUCCUUACCGCCUCCACUGCCAGCCACAGGACCCACAGAUGCUCCACAGUCAGCCCAAAUUGUCCAAGGCCAAGGUAUCUAUGUCCAUCCAUCAGAAUUGCAACCAAUGCAAGCACAGACUAUGUCCAGACAGACAUCCCAUCCAACUGGAGACAAAUUGUCUUGGCCACCUUGUGGUUGCCACCAUGCCUCUCAUCCCUGGUCCCUGUUAAGCACCAUCUCAAAACAGAAGCUUCUCUACCCGGCUAGUCUUUACAUAAUCUCAUCUCUACGUGACCAAUUUAUUUCCCGUGGCCCAAGCUCUCUUUGCUUUCCUCUCCUUCAAGCUCCUCUACUGCACCCUCUAGAAUACCUUUCCCAAAGGUAAACACCCACCCCUUUGCUGACAUCCUCUCUACCCUCUGUCCCAAUGGCAACACAGCUCUCCUGGGGAACUGCUGCUGCCAAAUGGCCAGCCCCAUCCCAUUGACCUCACUGUCAACCUCCUGGCUUCUGACCCGUGACCACUCGGUUAUACUUGAAAACUGUCCUGCUCCUUGGUGGCUUAGGCUAGCACAUGUUAAGCCACAGGUAGACCUCUGUCUGUAUUCAGGUUCAGAGCCCAGCUAUUCCUCUCUCAACCUUCAACUUCACCUCCUUUCUUCCCUCAUUCUAAGCAGAUAACCUGGCUCAUCUCAUUCCCUGAAACCCUUCCUAUAGACCCACUUACAUCUGCAACCAUCUCUUCCUUCUUUUAUCCACUGGAAAGUUAAUCUCCCCCAAGGGCCCUGGAUCCCACUUCCUCCUCUCUUCUCUUGACCCUAGCUCCAUCAACUGCUGUCUCUCUUUCCUGUACCUGCAAUGUUUCCCUCCGUUUUUGCUCCUUUUCCUCAGCAAUUUUUUUUUUUUUGAGACGGAGUCUCGCUCUGUCGCCCAGUUGGGAGUGCAGCGGUGUGAUCUCGGCUCACUGCAACCUCUACAUUCCAGGUUCAAGCAAUUCUCCUGCCUCGGCCUCCUGAACAGCUGGCACUAUAAGUACGCGCCACCACGCCCAGCUACUUUUUGUAUUUUUAGUAGAGAUAGGGUUUCGCCAUGUUAAUUAGGCUGGUUUUGAACUCCUCACCUCGGGUGAUCCACUGGCCUUGGCCUCCCAAAGUGCUGGGAUUACAGGUGUAAGCCACCACACCCACCUUAAUGACUUUCUGAUGCCCUCAGGAAAAAGGCAAAACUCUUUUCAUAUCAAGUGCAAGAUCCUUCACAGUCUGGUUCUUAUCUGUGGUCUCAUUUCUCCUUUCCUCACACUCUGACCAAGCCAGACUGAACAACCUGUAAUUCGUCAAACAUAUCAGGUGAGGUGUGAAUGUUCUAUUCGGCUCCAGGUUCUGUGCAUGCUGUUCCCUCCUGGCAGGUUCCUGCCACCCCUCCCGCAAAUACAGGUAAUCUCCUCAGGUCACAGCCUCUUUGACAUCUUAUUUAUUUAUUUUUUUUGAGAUGGAGUCUCGCUCUGUCGCCCACGCUGGAGUGCAGUGGUGCGAUCUCAGCUCACUGCAAGCUCUGCCUCCUGGAUUGAUGCCAUUCUCCUGCCUCAGCCUCCUGAGUAGCUGGGACUACAGGCACCCGCCACCAUGCCUGGCUAAUUUUUUUUUUUAAUUUUUAGGAGAGACGGGGUUUCACCAUGUUAGCCAGGAUGGUCUCAAUCUCCCGACCUCGUGAUCCGCCUGCCUUGGCCUCCCAAAGUGCUGGGAUUACAGGCAUGAGCCACUGUGACCGGCCAAUAAUUUUUAAAGCUAAUAUUUUUAUAAGUAGUUACAAUGCACCAGAUACUGCCUAUGUAUAUAACUAAUUUAAUCCUCACAACCUUAUGAGGUAGAUACUAGCAUUUCUAUUCUACACUUGAGGAAACAGGCACAGAUAAGUGGAAGUGACUCACCCAAGGUCCUACCAAACUGUUGAGUAGCAGAACCCUGCCAAUUUGGCAUUAGUGGCCGGCUAUUUAAUCAUGACUCCACGCUACCUUUCAAAUAAAAGCAGAUGGUAAGGAAAGGACAGCUGUGAGGACUGAACCAUUAAGCACAUUCCCCUAACAGAGAAAGGGAAUUGCAAAGGUGGCAGAACAAACACAGUAACAGAUGAGUUUUAAGGAGGAAUUAAAAAAAAACUUUAGGCCGGGCGCCAUGUCUCACGCCUGUAAUCUCAGCACUUUGGGAGGCCGAGGCGGGUAGAUCAUUUGAGGUCGGAAAUUGGAGACCAGCCUGGCAAACAUGGUGAAACUCCGUCUCUACCAAAGAUACAAAAAAUUAGCUGGGUGUGGUGGCACGCACCUGUGGUCCCAGGUACUCAUGGUGCGGCCACCAUUGCAUCUUGGGCCUCACUAACCAGUUCCCGUUUGUUGGAUUCAAUACUGUCUCACCACACAGGCCAAUCUUGUGUUUUAUUAAUUUUUUAAAUUUUUUUUUUUUUUUUUGUAGAGAUGGGCUCACUAUGUUGCCCAGGCUGGUCCUGAACUCCUGAGGUAGGAGGAUCGCUUGAGCCUGGGAGACAGAGGUUGCAGUGAGCCGAGAUUAUGCUACUGCACUCCUGCCUGGGUGACACAGUGAGACUCUGUCUUAAACAAAACAAAACAAAAAAAGGCCAGGCGCAGGGGCUCACACCUGUAAUCCUAGCACUUUGGGAGGCCAAGGUGGGUGGAUCAUUUGAGGUCAGGAGUUUGAGACCAGCCUGAUCAGCAUGGUGAAACCCCGUCUCUACUAAAAACAGAAAAAUUAGCCAGGUGUCGUGGCUUGCACCUGUAGUCCCAGCUACUCAGGAGGCUGAGACAGGAAAAUUGCUUCAACCAGGGAGAUGGAGGCUGCAGUGCGCAGAGUCGCGCCACUGCCUGGGUGACACAGUGAGACUCCAUCUCAAAAAAGCCCAGGGUGCUUGGCGCCAAAAAAGGGAUCUCUGACCUUGUGUUCAUUAUGACCUUCAAAAGAGUGAAGUGGUGAGGGCAUGAGGGCAGAGGAAAAGAAGGGCUUAAGACAACGAAGGAAAAGAAGGCACCAGAGUCUAGUGCCUUUGCCGCCAAACCUAAGCCUAUAAGGUUGGCAGCAAAACCAAAGCACAAACUGAUAGCAAAGGAGGUAAAGCCAGGGGAGAAGAAACUGAAGACGUCAAAGACAGAAAUGAAGCACAUCAUCUGGUUUAAAACAAAUGAUAGAGUUUUUACAGUUCUGGAAAAUGACCGUAUAAUAUUCUCUGCUAAGAAGAAUAACUUCUGCUAAACAACCAUAAGACUGCAGCUGGCUCUACUCAGAUCUGCUUAUUCCAACAAGACCAAGGUGCUAGUUCUAACUUCGAGUAGUCCCUCUGUAUGGCUGCAGCGUUGCGCACAGUGGACUGCCGGUCACAAGGAAGACUGGAUGAGCGUGGGUUCACACAUUUCCCACACUUGCCUCAGCAAAAGAACCACCUGGGACACUUGUUUAAAAAUGACAGAUUCCCACGGUCCACCUCGGCAGAUUCUGAUCCUGCCACGCCAGGGAGCUGUAUUUUUCAACAAGUACACCAGGUGAUCACGCAAGUUUAAGAAAUUAGCACAAGUUGGCCGGGCGCAGUGGCUCACGCCUGUAAUCCCAGCACUUUGGGAGGCUGAGGCGGGCGAAUCACGAGGUCAGGAGUUCCAGACCAGCCUGGCCAACAUAGUGAAACCCCGUCUCUACUAAAAACACAAAAAUUAGCCGGGCGUGGUGGCGCACACCUGUAUUCCCAGCUACUUGGGAGGCUGAGGCAGGAGAAUUGCUUGAACCCAGGAGGCAGAGGUUGCAGUGAGCCGAGAUCGCGCCACUGCAC